rnacentral:rRNA from 1 species
UACGUAGGCAGCAAGCGUUGUUCGGAGUUACUGGGCGUAAAGGGUGUGUAGGCGGUUCUUUAAGUUUGCUGUGAAAUCUCCCGGCUUAACCGGGAGGCUGCGGUGAAUACUGAGGGACUAGAGUACGGGAGAGGAAAGUGGAAUUCCUGGUGUAGCGGUGAAAUGCGUAGAUAUCAGGAGGAACACCGGUGGUGUAGACGGCUUUCUGGACCGUAACUGACGCUGAGACACGAAAGCGUGGGUAGCAAACAGG